AGAGGAAGUAAAAGUCGUAACAAGGUCUCCGUUGGUGAACCAGCGGAGGGAUCAUUACAGAGUUAUCCAACUCCCAAACCCAUGUGAACAUAUCUCUUUGUUGCCUCGGCGCAAGCUACCCGGGACCUCGCGCCCCGGGCGGCCCGCCGGCGGACAAACCAAACUCUGUUAUCUUCGUUGAUUAUCUGAGUGUCUUAUUUAAUAAGUCAAAACUUUCAACAACGGAUCUCUUGGUUCUGGCAUCGAUGAAGAACGCAGCGAAAUGCGAUAAGUAAUGUGAAUUGCAGAAUUCAGUGAAUCAUCGAAUCUUUGAACGCACAUUGCGCCCAUUAGUAUUCUAGUGGGCAUGCCUGUUCGAGCGUCAUUUCAACCCCUAAGCACAGCUUAUUGUUGGGCGUCUACGUCUGUAGUGCCUCAAAGACAUUGGCGGAGCGGCAGCAGUCCUCUGAGCGUAGUAAUUCUUUAUCUCGCUUCUGUUAGGCGCUGCCCCCCCGGCCGUAAAACCCCCAAUUUUUUCUGGUUGACCUCGGAUCAGGUAGGAAUACCCGCUGAACUUAAGCAUAUCAAU
rnacentral:rRNA from 1 species